CUUCCGGUGGGGGUACCUGCGGAGGGAUCAUUACCGAGUUUACAACUCCCAAACCCCUGUGAACAUACCACUUGUUGCCUCGGCGGAUCAGCCCGCUCCCGGUAAAACGGGACGGCCCGCCAGAGGACCCCUAAACUCUGUAUAUGCUAUAUAGUAACUUACUAGAGUAAAACCAUAAAUAAAUCAAAACUUUCAACAACGGAUCUCUUGGUUCUGGCAUCGAUGAAGAACGCAGCAAAAUGCGAUAAGUAAUGUGAAUUGCAGAAUUCAGUGAAUCAUCGAAUCUUUGAACGCACAUUGCGCCCGCCAGUAUUCUGGCGGGCAUGCCUGUUCGAGCGUCAUUUCAACCCUCAAGCACAGCUUGGUGUUGGGACUCGCGUUAAUUCGCGUUCCUCAAAUUGAUUGGCGGUCACGUCGAGCUUCCAUAGCGUAGUAGUAAAACCCUCGUUACUGGUAAUCGUCGCGGCCACGCCGUUAAACCCCAACUUCUGAAUGUUGACCUCGGAUCAGGUAGGAAUAGCCGCUGAACUUAAGCAUAUCAA
rnacentral:rRNA from 1 species